UCCGGAGGGAGCUAGCGUUGUUCGGAAUUACUGGGCGUAAAGCGCGCGUAGGCGGCUUUGUAAGUUAGAGGUGAAAGCCCGGGGCUCAACCCCGGAACUGCCUUUAAAACUGCAUCGCUUGAAUCCGGGAGAGGUGAGUGGAAUUCCGAGUGUAGAGGUGAAAUUCGUAGAUAUUCGGAAGAACACCAGUGGCGAAGGCGGCUCACUGGACCGGCAUUGACGCUGAGGUGCGAAAGCGUGGGGAGCAAACAGG
rnacentral:rRNA from 1 species